rnacentral:rRNA from 1 species
UACGUAGGGCGCAAGCGUUAUCCGGAAUUAUUGGGCGUAAAGAGCUCGUAGGCGGUUUGUCGCGUCUGCCGUGAAAGUCCGGGGCUCAACUCCGGAUCUGCGGUGGGUACGGGCAGACUAGAGUGAUGUAGGGGAGACUGGAAUUCCUGGUGUAGCGGUGAAAUGCGCAGAUAUCAGGAAGAACACCCGUGGCGAAGGCGGCUCUCUGGGACGGUACUGACGCUGAGGCGCGAAAGCGUGGGGAGCAAACAGG